rfam:Gossypium hirsutum cultivar TM-1 chromosome 17, whole genome shotgun sequence
UAUUAAAUGUUUUAUUCAUUUUUAUUGUUAAAAAUUAGUGUGAUUGACAGAAUAACCAGACAAUUACAUGUGCGUAUAUCUUAUUCUGACAUAUAACGAUGAAUUUUUAAAAGUAUAAAUGAAUAAAAUUUUUAAUA